AGAGUUUGAUCCUGGCUCAGGAUGAACGCUGGCGGCGUGCUUAACACAUGCAAGUCGAACGGGAAUUACUUUAUUGAAACUUCGGUCGAUUUAAUUUAAUUCUAGUGGCGGACGGGUGAGUAACGCGUGGGUAACCUGCCUUAUACAGGGGGAUAACAGUCAGAAAUGGCUGCUAAUACCGCAUAAGCGCACAGAGCUGCAUGGCUCAGUGUGAAAAACUCCGGUGGUAUAAGAUGGACCCGCGUUGGAUUAGCUUGUUGGUGGGGUAACGGCCCACCAAGGCGACGAUCCAUAGCCGGCCUGAGAGGGUGAACGGCCACAUUGGGACUGAGACACGGCCCAAACUCCUACGGGAGGCAGCAGUGGGGAAUAUUGCACAAUGGGGGAAACCCUGAUGCAGCGACGCCGCGUGAGCGAAGAAGUAUUUCGGUAUGUAAAGCUCUAUCAGCAGGGAAGAUAAUGACGGUACCUGACUAAGAAGCCCCGGCUAACUACGUGCCAGCAGCCGCGGUAAUACGUAGGGGGCAAGCGUUAUCCGGAUUUACUGGGUGUAAAGGGAGCGUAGACGGCAAGGCAAGUCUGAUGUGAAAACCCAGGGCUUAACCCCGGGACUGCUUUGGAAACUGUUUUGCUAGAGUGCUGGAGAGGUAAGUGGAAUUCCUAGUGUAGCGGUGAAAUGCGUAGAUAUUAGGAGGAACACCAGUGGCGAAGGCGGCUUACUGGACAGUAACUGACGUUGAGGCUCGAAAGCGUGGGGAGCAAACAGGAUUAGAUACCCUGGUAGUCCACGCGGUAAACGAUG
rnacentral:rRNA from 1 species